CCUACGGGAGGCUGCAGUGAGGAAUAUUGGUCAAUGGCCGCAGGGCUGAACCAGCCAAGUCGCGUGAGGGAUGACGGUCCUAUGGAUUGUAAACCUCUUUUGUCAGGGAGCAAAGGGCGCCACGUGUGGCGCUUUGCGAGUACCUGAAGAAAAAGCAUCGGCUCACUCCGUGCCAGCCGCCGCGGUAAUACGGAGGUUGCGAGCGUUAUCCGGAUUUUUUGGGUUGAAAGGGGGCGCAGGCGGAAUGUCAAGUCAGCGGUAAAAUUUCGGGGCUCAACCCCGUCGUGCCGUUGAAACUGGCGUUCUUGAGUGAGCGAGAAGUAUGCGGAAUGCGUGGUGUAGCGGUGAAAUGCAUAGAUAUCACGCAGAACUCCGAUUGCGAAGGCAGCAUACCGGCGCUCAACUGACGCUCAUGCACGAAAGCGUGGGUAUCGAACAGGAUUAGAUACCCGUGUAGUC
rnacentral:rRNA from 1 species